rnacentral:misc_RNA from 1 species
AAGUCGUAACAAGGUUUCCGUAGGUGAACCUGCGGAAGGAUCAUUAAAAGAGGGUCGUAAGACCUAUUUUUAAAACCUACCACCACCUCUCAUUGGGAUCUCUCCUUGGGAUGGAGGAGGUAUUGGUUUUUUAAAGUCCAAUUAUUACAAAACAUAUAUCGUCUAACGACGAAACCAAAUAAAUAUUUCAAAACUUUCAACAAUGGAUCUCUUGGCUCUC